GCCGGAAUAGCUCAGUUGGUAGAGCAGGGGACUGAAAAUCCUC
rnacentral:tRNA from 2 species